AGGACGAGGAUAACUAUUGGAAACGAUAGCUAAUACUGGAUAGGAUAUUAGAUCGCAUGAUCUUAUAUUUAAAGAAGCUUUCAAGCUUCACCUUUGGAUGGUCUUGCGCUGUAUUAGCUAGUUGGUGAGGUAACGGCUCACCAAGGCGACGAUACAUAGCUGGUCUGAGAGGACGAACAGCCACACUGGGACUGAGACACGGCCCAGACUCCUACGGGAGGCAGCAGUAGGGAAUUUUCGGCAAUGGGCGCAAGCCUGACCGAGCAAUGCCGCGUGAACGAUGAAGGCCUUCGGGUCGUAAAGUUCUGUUAUUUGGGA
rnacentral:rRNA from 1 species